UACGUAGGGGGCAAGCGUUGUCCGGAAUCAUUGGGCGUAAAGAGCGUGUAGGCGGCUCGAUAAGUCUGCUGUGAAAGUCCAGGGCUCAACCCUGGAAGGCCGGUGGAGACUGUCGGGCUAGAGUCCGGAAGAGGCGAGUGGAAUUCCCGGUGUAGCGGUGAAAUGCGCAGAUAUCGGGAGGAACACCAAUGGCGAAGGCAGCUCGCUGGGACGGUACUGACGCUGAGACGCGAAAGCGUGGGUAGCAAACAGG
rnacentral:rRNA from 1 species